GCAAGCGUGUGUGUGUGUGUGUGUGCGUGUGUGCGCACGGGCACCGCAAACACGCGCGCAACAACCACGCGCACGC
rnacentral:pre_miRNA from 1 species